rnacentral:lncRNA from 1 species
UCCAUUAACAUAGACGUAAACCUUAUGAGUUUGAGUUUUAUUAUUUGGGGAAAAAAAUAAAAAUAUAUAGAAAAUAGGCUAGACACAUUUAAAGGGUAAAUUUUGGUUCGUUUGAUCCAACAUUCGUUCAUCCAGAUUGUGCUUGCACACAAAUUCAAGGUCCGAAGUGCUAAUUCAGUAUGUGGUUUGCACUUCUUGCGCGUACACAUG